UACCAGCACCCCGAGUGGUCGGGACGUUUAUUGGGCCUAAAGCAUCCGUAGCCGGUUCUGCAAGUCUUCCGUUAAAUCCACCUGCUUAACAGAUGGGCCGCGGAAGAUACUAUAGAGCUAGGAGGCGGGAGAGGCAAGCGGUACUCGAUGGGUAGGGGUAAAAUCCGUUGAUCCAUUGAAGACCACCGGUGGCGAAGGCGGCUUGCCAGAACGCGCUCGACGGUGAGGGAUGAAAGCUGGGGGAGCAAACCGG
rnacentral:rRNA from 1 species